UAUACACUUUGAGAUGACCAUUGUUUACUUGCCAGCAGCAGAAAUCGAGAAAUGGAAUAUAUGAAAGUACUGUUGCAUGUGUUUUCUGGAAUGCCAAAUCCCGAAUAUAACAUUGAAAGCAAAGAUCCAGACUACAAUAGAAUAAAAGCCAUGUUACCAGAGCAAGGAAGUGUUCGUCUCCAAUCUGCUCUUGGCUAUCAAGGUUAUAUGAUUUUUAUCAUGCCAACUGGUAAAACGAAAAUAAAGGAGCGCCUUUAUAUGAUAGAAGUUCCGCGUGGAUUUAAUCCAGAUCUUGAAAAGUUACUGUUUAACAAGGGUGAAUUUGAUGAAGACUUAAGGAAAAUAGUAUAUGGUGAUCAAGAUCCAGGAUCUGAAUUCGGCCAGGAACCUAGGAGACACUUACAUAGAGACAUAUAGUAUAUAUAAUUUAUCAAAUCAAUAAUAAAAAUCAUUAUUUAAAAUAAGUAUUCCCUUAUCUGUAUUAUUUUGGACUACUUUGCAGUUCAAUAACUGAUUUCAAUUUGCAUCAAUAAAUUACAUUCUUACUUUUUUUUUUUAACUGCU